rfam:Schistosoma curassoni strain Dakar, Senegal genome assembly, scaffold: SCTD_contig0000232
AUUCAGCUGACAAGUCCCAAAUUGGACGAAAUGUGUGUCAAACUGGAU